rnacentral:rRNA from 1 species
UACGUAGGGUGCGAGCGUUGUCCGGAAUUACUGGGCGUAAAGAGCUUGUAGGCGGUUUGUCGCGUCUUCUGUGAAAACUUGGGGCUCAACCUUAAGCUUGCAGGGGAUACGGGCAGACUAGAGUACUUCAGGGGAGACUGGAAUUCCUGGUGUAGCGGUGAAAUGCGCAGAUAUCAGGAGGAACACCGGUGGCGAAGGCGGGUCUCUGGGAAGUAACUGACGCUGAGAAGCGAAAGCGUGGGUAGCGAACAGGAUUAGAUACCCUGGUAGUCCACGCCGUAAACGGUGGGUACUAGGUGUGGGUUUCCUUCCACGGGAUCCGUGCCGUAGCUAACGCAUUAAGUACCCCGCCUGGGGAGUACGGCCGCAAGGCUAAA